rnacentral:rRNA from 1 species
AGUUCGGAUUGCAGGCUGCAACUCGCCUGUAUGAAGUCGGAAUUGCUAGUAAUCGCGGAUCAGCAUGCCGCGGUGAAUACGUUCCCGGGCCUUGUACACACCGCCCGUCACACCAUGAGAGCCGGGAACACCCGAAGUCCGUAGUCUAACCGCAAGGAGGACGCGGCCGAAGGUGGGUUUGGUAAUUGGGGUGAAGUCGUAACAAGGUACC